UACGUAGGGAGCAAGCGUUGUCCGGAUUCACUGGGUGUAAAGGGUGCGCAGGCGGAUUUGUAAGUCAGGGGUGAAAUCUUACGGCUUAACCGUGAAACUGCCUCUGAUACUGCAGAUCUUGAGUUUGGGAGAGGUUGAUGGAAUUCCAGGUGUAGCGGUGAAAUGCGUAGAUAUCUGGAAGAACACCAGUGGCGAAGGCGGUCAACUGGCCCAUAACUGACGCUCAGGCACGAAAGCGUGGGUAGCAAAC
rnacentral:rRNA from 1 species